AUGCUCAACUCGGACAGUGCUGACGUUGUUUUAUAUUCUCUACGUCAGAAGUACCGAGACACUGACAAGUUGAUAGUUCCCAGAUGGGUGACGACCAAGAUCCGUGAUGGAAAUAUUGAUUCCAAUGUGCUAAAUUGGUUCACGAAAUCAGGGAGCCCCUCUACACCCAAGAAUCCCAUUGUGGAAUUGAUAGACAGCGAUGAUGAUGCGUUUGACAAGAUUGCUGGCAUGGGAAGAGUCACCAGGAGCGCUGCUGCCAAGGGUUUAUCCCCACUUGUUGGAAUAGUGGCCCGUAGAGCUGGUGGUGCUAGGAAGGAUCCUGCUUUGGAUUCUGGCAAUGUUACAAGAACAAAGCGUGCACCCAGAGCUCCUAUAAAGUUUUGCUCCCCUGUGCAGCAGCUUCACCCUCAUAAAUUCCCUCACCGGGACAAGGCUCGCAAGUUGUAUAAUCUGUUGCUUAGCGAUGAAGCAUGUGAGAAGAAUCCAUUCUCAAUGAUACCUCAGCCCGAUGGUAGCGUAACCAGCUUCACUGGGAAACGCAUCUGGGAAGUUUUUGCACCUGGGCAAAUGAUGGAGGGUGAUGUAAUGGACUUCCUCAUUGAUGAUUGGAAGAAAGAUCCCGAUAGAAAUGUUGAUUUUGCAUCUGGGAAAAGGGUAUUGCUGAGUCCAUAUUUCAUCACGAUCAUGAUGCCUCUAUUCUAG
rnacentral:rRNA from 1 species